UUAGAUAAAGCCAAAAUUAGAGGCUUGUCACUGUUAAUGACAGAAUUAGGACUAUUCCUUAUCUAAG
rnacentral:tRNA from 1 species